UUUAUUUUUAAGGUCCAUUUAAUAAAGCUGUCAACUGUAACAUAGUACUUUGAAAUCCAACUGAAAAGAGAGUAUGUUUUAAAGUGAAGACAACAGCUCCAAAAAAGUACUGUGUACGACCAAACAGUGGGAUAGUUGAGCCACGUGGCAAGGUGUCUGUAACUGUUAUGCUACAGCCUUUUGACUUCGAUGUAAAAGAGAACUACAAACACAAAUUCAUGGUACAAUCAAUAAUUGUCCUCGAAAACAACGACAAUGUGGAUAAUAUCUGGAGAGAAGCUAAUCCUGAUCAAAUAAUGGACUCGAAACUGAAUUGUAUUUUUGAUCCUGCAGAUGAUAUUAUUAUGGAAGACGAAGAGUUUAAUGUUGAACUCCAUCCAGGAUACUGCAAAUUCUUUAAAACUUAUUUCAAGGGGAAAAAACACUAGUUUUAAGUACAUUUUUCCUUAAAACAAGAAAUAUUCUCUUCUUAACCAUAAGAAAAUUAUCUUACUAACUAUCGUUAAACAAGAAAUAUUUCUAAGCAAGAAAAUUUAUCUUAAGUAAAUUUUUCCGAAAAACAAGAAAAUGUUGUAAGCAAGAAAAUGUAUCUUAAGUAAAUUUUUCCUUAAAGUAAUAAAUAUUAUCUUGUCCCUUCUAUAAGAAAA